GGGGAGCUCACUGUUAAGAGUGCAUGCCUAGCAUGCAUGAGGUCCUGGGUUCAAUUCCCAGUACCUCUA
rfam:Camelus ferus unplaced genomic scaffold scaffold760, whole genome shotgun sequence.